GCACACACACACACACACACACACACACACACACACACACACACACACACACACACACACACACACACACACACACACACACACACACACACACGCACGCACGCGCGCGCACACACACACACACACACACACACACACACACACACACACACACACACACACACACACACACACACACACACACACACACACACACACACACACACACACACACGCCCGCGCGCGC
rnacentral:lncRNA from 1 species